GAUGAACGCUGGCGGCGUGCCUAAUACAUGCAAGUCGAGCGAACAGGCGAGGAGCUUGCUCCUCUGACGUUAGCGGCGGACGGGUGAGUAACACGUGGAUAACCUACCUAUAAGACUGGGAUAACUUCGGGAAACCGGAGCUAAUACCGGAUAAUAUAUUGAACCGCAUGGUUCAAUAGUGAAAGACGGUUUUGCUGUCACUUAUAGAUGGAUCCGCGCCGCAUUAGCUAGUUGGUAAGGUAACGGCUUGCCAAGGCAACGAUGCGUAGCCGACCUGAGAGGGUGAUCGGCCACACUGGAACUGAGACACGGUCCAGACUCCUACGGGAGGCAGCAGUAGGGAAUCUUCCGCAAUGGGCGAAAGCCUGACGGAGCAACGCCGCGUGAGUGAUGAAGGUCUUCGGAUCGUAAAACUCUGUUAUUAGGGAAGAACAAAUGUGUAAGUAACUAUGCACGUCUUGACGGUACCUAAUCAGAAAGCCACGGCUAACUACGUG
rnacentral:rRNA from 1 species